rnacentral:rRNA from 1 species
UGGCCUACGGGACGCAGCAGUGGGGAAUAUUGCACAAUGGGGGAAACCCUGAUGCAGCAACGCCGCGUGAGUGAAGAAGUAUUUCGGUAUGUAAAGUUCUAUCAGCAGGGAAGAAAAUGACGGUACCUGACUAAGAAGCCCCGGCUAACUACGUGCCAGCAGCCGCGGUAAUACGUAGGGGGCAAGCGUUAUCCGGAUUUACUGGGUGUAAAGGGAGCGUAGACGGUCCUGCAAGCCAGAUGUGAAAGCCCGGGGCUCAACCCCGGGACUGCAUUUGGAACUGAAAGGCUAGAG